GACAGUGUAGCAUAGUGGUUUAAGCAUCAGACUACAACUCUGGAGACCAGGAUUCAAAUCCCCACUUAGCCA
rnacentral:tRNA from 1 species